AUCCAUAACGACUCUYGGCAACGGAUAUCUCGGCUCUUGCAUCGAUGAAGAACGUAGCGAAAUGCGAUACUUGGUGUGAAUUGCAGAAUCCCGUGAACCAUCGAGUCUUUGAACGCAAGUUGCGCCCGAAGCCACUAGGCCGAGGGCACGCCUGCCUGGGUGUCGCA
rnacentral:rRNA from 1 species